GUUUUGUAACUUACUUGAAUUGUGCUACUGGUGGAGGCUGUGGUUUACUCAUAGCUGCUUAUUUCUUUUCCUGAACAAAAAUAAACUAUAUAUAGGGUAUAAAAAAAUAUUCAUAUGUUUUCACAAUAUUAAUAAUCAUAUACACCAAUAAUGUUUCUAAGAAUCAAUAAAACCUACCGCUCAGAAGUUAGUGGUUCCGAAUUAAUUCUUGAGCACCGAUUUAAUUUAGAAAUACCAGAGCCCUCAAUCCUUGCUAUUGCAU